GAAAUGCGAUAAGUAGUGUGAAUUGCAGAAUUCAGUGAAUCAUCGAAUCUUUGAACGCACAUUGCGCCCCUUGGUAUUCCAUGGGGCAUGCCUGUUCGAGCAUCAUUUGUACCUUCAAGCUCUGCUUGGUGUUGGGUGUUUGUCUCGCCUCUGCGCGCAGACUCGCCUCAAAACAAUUGGCAGCCGGCGUAUUGAUUUCGGAGCGCAGUACAUCUCGCGCUUUGCACUCAGAACGACGACGUCCAAAAGUACAUUUUUUACACUCUUGACCUCGGAUCAGGUAGGGAUACCCGCUGAACUUAAGC
rnacentral:misc_RNA from 1 species